AGGGCCAGAGGGAAGCGGGAUCUCUGCUGCGCUAGCACCGCAGGGAGCGGGCGCAACCCGGCGGGCCAUGGGUAGCGAAGUGCAGCUCCCCACUGAGGCCGCCUGGUCUCCGCCCCCCUGAGCAUAGCUCUGGCCCUGACCGGGAUCCGUGGCUGGGGCCCCCUUGUGGAGCAGGCAGCAGGGGAGUCAGCGGCAGCUUCUCCCACAGGCUGCCUGUGCUGGGGCCUUUCCAAGCCCCAGCUUUGGUCUGGGCCUGGAUAAAUGUGGUCUCCAUAUCUCCAGGGAGUUUUCAGGUUCUCCAUCCCACCUGUUUCCCCAAACUGGACAAAGAACCCAUGGGGUAACCAUCCAGCACCCCCACAAGGAAGCCAACCUGGGGUCUUCCCAGAAACAUCCUAGACACCCCAAGAGAUCAAGCUCAGGACCUCGCGCUUUCAAGGCAGGCGGCACCACCCCAUCUUUCAAGACCCUUGAGGCUAGCCACAGACCCUUGGGCUCAAGUUGUCCUAUUGCUUCAGCCUCUCAGAGCCGUGCAGAGCUGCUGAACAAGACACAGCAGGACACGUACUGACAGCCGCAGGGCAGUGUGCACCCACAGGAGCCCACCUGUCACCCGGCUGCCCGCCUUGGCCUCUGCCGUCACCACCAGAUCCACGGAGUCACUCCAGCAAGCUCACAGCCCAAUUCCUGUCGUCUCACCCCUACUGCUGAGCCAUAGGGGCCCCUGGCCAGGGGUGGACCAGUUUGUUGCCAGUUGUGUGUGGGAAAAGUGAGGCACAGAGAGGCUCAGCACCAUGCCCACAGUGAGUCGGUAAUGGGGUUUGGAGCUGGGCUGCCUACGCCUGCCCAGAGCGAGCGCCACCACACCUUCCCCUCACACUGCAUCCCCACCUGUCCCGUGGAAAAGGGAUGUAGGAGGCUCCUUCUCUGUGCCCAGUGGCCCACUCAGCCAGGUGAAGUCGGUGCGGCGAUGAUGCGGUGGAGGAAGGUCUAUGGCGAUCCUGUGUGAGCCAGGGCUUGGGGAGGACCAUCUAGGUGCUACCAGCAAGAUGUGAGCAAGGGGAGGGCUGGCCCGCGGGGACCCCCUAGCCCCGCCCCACUGCCGUGCUGGGAACUGGGCCGGCAGGGGCUUGCUGCCCUCACCGCCUUCGAGGGCUGCUGGGUGGCGGACAGUUUGCUUCAGUGGCAGCCUGAGCCCAUCUGGACUUGGCCACCACUCCUUGCCCAUGUGCUGGCCCCUGGCCCGUGUCUCCAGUGUGGGACCCGGACGUCCCCAGCCUCUUCCUCCCUGCCAGCCGUUGGACGUCUCUUGGCCAUGGAGUGACCCUGAAGCCACAUCCACCUGCCCUCCUCAGAGUG